rnacentral:tRNA from 1 species
UAGAAUAGUUUAAGGAAAAUAUUAAUUUGUGGUUUUAAUGAUGGUUUAUUCUUCUAAC